UGUUGUAAUUUGGGUAACAAAUCACAAACUAUGUCGUGUUUUAGGCCUAAAAAUCGCAAACUAUGUUGUAAUUUGGGUAACAUAGGAGGAAUAUAUAUCUUUGCCUUUUUAUUCACCAUGGACCAAUGAUGAAACUCGAAACCUAGCAUAUUGAAGGUGUGCCUAGCUUUGGUUGUAAGUGUUGUGGAAUAAGUGGAAUUCCGUAACUCAUGCAACCAAAGCUGGCAUACCUUCUAUGUAUGGCAUAAGGUUCAUGUUGCAUCAUGGUAAAGCGACAACAUUUUUGGGUUUGCCUUAUGUAUUGUUCUCGAUCUCAGUUUGCAACCCAUUCUUAUGAAGUCACUGAUCGCGGUUGAGUUGUCACUGGAAGAUAGUUAUUUGUUUCUAACCACUAAUUUGUACUUAUGCUCUUUGUCCUCGUUGGUCAAAACUUGAUUAGAGUGAUGGAUUUGACAGUUCUUGAUAGAGCUUUGGGCAUAUGAAGAGCAUCGACAAAAGUAACAAGAUAUGCUCUGUUUUUCAACAGUACCUAAUUCUUGGAGAUCAUGGGAGAGUCAUCAUAACGAAUUCCCUUUCUUCAAGAAGCUAGGAGGGUUGGGUUUCUAAACUUCUUGAUAAAGUUAAGUAGUGUUGUCUUAUAUGAAGUUGCCUGAUUUUUUAGGAGAGUAUUUUGUGCGGUGUGGCCAUAUUUUCUCAACAGUGACGCGUCUCGAUUUUGCUAGCAUCGCACAAAAAGAACAGAUAGUUCAGCCUCUAGUAGGUACAAUGUACAAGCUCAUAGAGCAGAUCUAAGAAACUUAAAGUGGUGCUUUAGUCUGCAUUAACUUCCUUUGCUCCGCUCUUAAACCCUUUGCACAAGCGUUUGCUUUUGACCACUAGAAGUGGACAACGUCUCGGGUGUCCAUUUAUCUUUUAUUGUUUGCUUAUUUCAUAGUUCUUGAAACUGUGUUCUAAUGUCAUCGUAUUUGCCCUAUCAUAUUUUAGUUGGAGAAGGUGGAACCAAGACCACAUGGCAUGUUUAUGCAUUUGCAACACAUUACUUGUGGAUUCAUUGUCAUCUCUAGUGUACCAAAUGCAUGGUGACAAUGGAGUUCUUUAGUUGGCCUGUUAUCUGAAUCUCGUACACCAACUGGAGACGUUGCACUUGGAUAUGAGUGCCAUUUUGUUGGUAUAGUUAUGACCUGUACUAGGAUUGCUUCUAAUGGACUGGUUGUUAAUGUCCAAAUGCACAUGAUGUAUAGGCCCCAUGAGGUUUCGGCGCCUGAUUAUUUUGUGCAUGAGGAAGGCCCCCACAUGCAUCGCCACGAUUAGCUCAGGAGCAUCUACAUCAGCAGAUUCCGGUGUUACACGGCUUACACAUGCUUGUGUGUUGUAUCUUGGAAAAUGCUUGUGUUCUUGAGCACAUGAUAUUACAACCCUAAACCGUGACUUGGAUAUGCUUUGAUCCGGGCAAUGAGAUUGAGAAUAUCAACGUCGAAGGAAGAUUUCUACCGGGGGUUUGCCAGUGGGAAUGACUUACCUUAGAGCACUUCGCAAAAUGGAGACACCAUCAUCAUGUCAAUUGUGCAAGUCAAGGUGCGCCAACAGCCUUGCAAUGGGACGCUGUUCGGCAUCUAUUUCAAGCCGAGUUUUGUUCCUACAAUGAUCGUCUCAUGCAAUGUGAGAUUGGAAUUCAAUGAGAUGACCGUAGACAUUGUGACCUUCGAGGCUCCUCGGGGUCCUACACUUUGGAGGUCAAGAAAGGAUGAAAGAUGUCUGGGAUGGGAGGAUAUGGAUGGGAUCAUUUCGUCACCCACAUGCGUCUCACUGGGGAUGAAUUGAUCAAAUUCGUCUUCAGAGGAUGAAGACCAAAGCUGGUUGUCAUCCAUCUCAACACAAAUGAAGAUGAUGAUGAGGACCCACUUGAUGAAGCCCAUUAUGCCCAAAGAAUGAGGUUGGGCAAGGAGGAAAUGGGAAACCUCUGGUACAUACUUCCCCCACGUGAUGACUACGUCGAGGUGUCAUUCUUGACCCGUCUGACAAGGAGCAAUUUUACCCACCAUGUCAUGCUAUGUUACUUAGUGUAGUAAUUUGCUUAGUGUGGAAUCUGUUGAUGUGCUUAGCGUGUGUAGAAUAUGAUUUAUAUGCUUUGUGUAGAAUCAUAAUUGAUAUGCUUAGUGUAGAAUCUGAUUGAUAUACAUAUUGUAGAAUCGAUCUUAUUGAUAUGCUUAGUGUAGAAUCCGAUGAUAUGCUUUGUGCAAGGCUACUUAAUUGAUAUAUUUUUUUCAUAAAUUGCUUAAGAGGCUAUCUUUGUGUUGUGGCAUCGAGGCUGAUGAAGCAUGUUAUGCUGGAGUAGGCCUUACACGGGCUACAUCACCACCUGUGCGUACGCAGUAGACACGGACGGUCGCACUAUCUUAAACUCGGUGGGGAUGGAUCAUCAUCCUCAUUGGCAAGAAUCUUCAGGUUGGACUAGCGGUCUUAGUCACUAUCAGAA